rnacentral:rRNA from 1 species
UGCGUAGGCGGCAUGUCAAGCCAGAGGUGAAAGGCAUUGGCUCAACCAAUGUAAGCCUUUGGAACUGACGCGCUUGAGUACAGGAGAGGUAAGUGGAAUUCCUAGUGUAGAGGUGAAAUUCGUAGAUAUUAGGAGGAACACCAGUGGCGAAGGCGACUUACUGGACUGUAACUGACGCUGAGGCACGAAAGCGUGGGUAGCGAACA